UGAAACCAGAACCAGAAGCUGAGGCGC
rnacentral:piRNA from 2 species